rnacentral:lncRNA from 1 species
UUUUUUUGAUUUUUUUUAAAUUUCCCGAUUUUCCUAUUUCUGAAUUAUUUUACAAUUUAAUCUCUAAUCACCCCUCACACUAUUCAAUUUAACCUCUAAUCUCUAAUCACCCCUCACACUAUUCAAUUUAACCUCUAAUCUCUAAUCACCCCUCAUCACUGCUCAAUUUAACCUUUAAUCUCUAAUCAUAAUCACUCAUUAUCACUGCUCAAUUUAACCUCUAAUCUCUAAUCACACCUCAUCAUUUCAAAUCUUCUAACUUUCCGGCCGAU